UGGAAAAAGAGCUAAAACGUAUGAACAUUCUGGACUUGUCACACUUUUUUUUCUUCCUUUUUUGUAGUUUUCCCAAUAAUUCUCGUUUAUAUCAGAUGAUAAGUAUAAUUUCACUGUGAGCCAAACUUUUGUAAAAAAAGACAGCAUAAUGGAAGGGCAGGUACAAUGCACUGAA
rnacentral:ribozyme from 1 species